ACGGCGGCGAUACCAGAACCCACAGCAGACGGAUGUUAAGGACCAACUAAGAGUGGAGGCGAGUCUCAUGCAGUCUCCGUUUAUUGACGUUUCAGACUCAUGCAGCAUCCGGCAUACAAAAAGGGGAUAUGGAUCUUGGCAUGUGGGGAGGCUGCCUGCUCCUGAACUGAAAGCAAGAAUUGUGAACGAGAGUCAUGGCUGAGGCUGCUUUUCACCUGCCCUGGAAGCUGCUUGGUUCUCCCAUUCCUGACUCCCCAGUUCCCUUUCCUCCUAAGCAGGAUAGGUUUACUCUGGAAGAGCAGAGAAUUGCGAUGCGGUUCAAGCAACUAUGGCAAAACCACAACCGUGUCCAGAGAACAAUGGAGAGGAGACUUCUUAU